GGCUCGUGGCACCGGUCCGUCGAAAGACGUUGUACUGGUCGCGGCGAGUCUUACCUUCUGGCCAGCCGGCGUGCCUUUAAUCGGGUGCGUCGGUGCACCAGGACUUUUACCUUGAAAAAAUUAGAGUGUUUAAAGCAGGCUACAAUCGCUUGAAUACAUUAGCAUGGAAUAACGGAAUAGGACGCUUGAUUCUAUUUUGUUGGUUUCUAGGAUCAACGUA
rnacentral:rRNA from 1 species